CGCCCUUAUUGGGUGGGGGAACACAUAUGGAAUUCAUUGCUGGCACAUUGGAAUUUUCCAUAGUACCGCAUUAAAUGUGCUACCGCCCAGAAAAAUAGGGCUUCAGAAAAAGGUGGUGUAUUGCAUACCGGAGGAUCAAUCACUACACAUGAACAUGCAAUUCGUAUGGCAGCAGAGCUUGGACGGGCUGUUCAUGUUGAUGAGGUGCUUACACAAACUCAUCUUCGCAAGGGGACUGACGAAUAUGUUGAUGAGAGGUCUCGCAAGACCACUGAAGAUUUUUCUGCGAGAUUGACACAAGCGAGAUCAAAGGGGGAAUCUGCUCCUGAUGCUAACUCUAGAGUAGAUGCAGACGAAGAAAUCAUCAGGACCCAAUGCUAGGUUGAUGUCGUCGGGGGCAAGAAGAAAGGACGACUGUAUGGGGUAGGACAACUUGCCUCCUAUUACAGUGCUGGAAGAGGAGGCAUAUUGAGACAUCAACCAUCUACCUCCGGCACAUUUGACCACAACAAUGUCGUUAGUAAAGAGGCUUAUGAUUCACUUCUAGCCAUAUUUGACAAUAUUGAAAAUUUGGUCAAGACAUUGAUACCUCAGCAGGGACAGUCUGCCCAUCAUCAUCCCAGCAGCCAUGCCCACCUCAA